GCGUGAAUGGUGUAAUGGUAACAUUGGGUCUUCCCACUAUUCCCAGAUGUAAUAGUCUGGUCUUCAAGUGUUUGGCCUAGCCCCGGGUUCGAUUCCCGGCUUACGCA